rnacentral:rRNA from 1 species
UACGGAGGUUGCAAGCGUUAUCCGGAUUUAUUGGGUUUAAAGGGUGCGUAGGCGGGAUAUUAAGUCAGCGGUGAAAGCCUGUAGCUCAACUACAGAAUUGCCAUUGAUACUGAUAUUCUUGAGUGUAUUUGAGGUGGGCGGAAUGUGUAAUGUAGCGGUGAAAUGCUUAGAUAUUACACAGAACACCAAUUGCGUAGGCAGCUCACUAAACUACUACUGACGCUGAGGCACGAAAGCGUGGGGAGCAAACAGG